rnacentral:sRNA from 1 species
UGUAGGCAAUCUGUCAGAAGCAUCUUUCACUCCACUGAUCCCCAGGGUCAUUUUGGUUAAUCUAUCCAGCUAGGUGGCUGGCCCCUUCCACCCUCA